rnacentral:lncRNA from 1 species
ACAGAGUGGGAGGGGAAUGAAGUGUGACAAACUCUCUUAUAAAAGAUAAGGCAAAAAUGGCAGUCAAUUAUUGUUUCUGAUAAAUGUAAUGUCAUCCAAUAAUUUAUAGUAAUUCUGAGAACUAUAGCCAGUAAAAUGAAUUUGCAUAGUCUGUCUUCUUUAGGACACUGAUUUUCAAACUUGAAUGCACACUGGAAUCACCCGAGGAAUUUAAAAAAACACCGACACCUGGAUCCCACACAAGGACCCUGAUUUAAAUGGAUAAUCCUCACCAGCCUCAGAGUUCAUGUCUGAAAGUAUAGAGGCGGCAGAUAACCAAUGCAAGUGAACAUGGGUGAAAAUGGAUGAAAGUCCAUCUGGGCUGUCUGCAAAAUGAGAAGAUUCUAGACACUGUUUCUUAAAUACCUUGGAGGCGAGGAUCACAAAAUGCUCUCAGAAGUUUAUGAAAGCUAUGGAGUCUCCGGAAAUAUUCAGAAUUUUGCAUGUUCUGGAUGAAGCCUUCCACCAUUUUAAAGCUCCUUUUAUGGAUAUUUCUGGUUUUGGUCUCAGAUUUUCAUUCUCCAAACAUUCUCUUUAGAUGACCACAUUCACUUUCAAGUAUUCAUGCCAAAUAAAUCUUCAUUUCCAGCCCAGACCUCCCUCCAAACUCUUGGUUUGUUUAGUCACUUGCAACACAGAUUAUUCAUCCAGAUUUCCAUGGGCAUCUCAAAAUCAACACAUCCAAAAUGAAGUUAUCAUCCCUGAUAAUCCUCCUAGCUCCUGUCCCAUUCAUCUCCCUCCCAUCUCUCACCCAUAAAGAAUUAACUACUGAUGUUUCUCACUAACCAACCCAUAAUAAUGACCUGCAUUAAUUAAUCCAUGUGCAAUUCAGAAUUACUUACAUUCAUUUAUCCAUGUGAUAUUUUCACUCAUUAAUCACCAUCGUCUGCAUAUGUAAACAGGAACAACAACAUCCACCUAUCCCAGCAGGGGUUUUGCAAUUACUUUAAAGCCUUUUCAAAUAUAUUUUUGUGUGAUUAAAAUGAUGGAGAUAUUUCAAAUGAAUUCAAGUAUAAAAUGCAAAAUAUUCCAACUUCAUAAACUGUUUACUUCUGGCUUAGAAAAUGUUAAUAUUUUUACUCAACCCAUCUGGCUCUGGAGAUGCUGUGUGUGCUUGAUAAUUGUAUGUGAAAAUUAUUAUUUGCAUCUUUAAAAAUUACUUGAGGAAUGCUAUUUAUUAAACUUGUUAUUCCUAUCUAUUUUUUGACAACAUAAUACAACUUUAAAUUCAAAAGAAAAAUUGACAAGACAUAUUUUAGCAGUUUAAAAUGAACAUCACAGAUACAAAAUGAUCAAAGUAAAAUAUUAUUAGCUGUAGAUGACUCAAAUAUUUCCUCGUCUUACUGUCUUUUGUUUUGAUGUGAUUUCCUUCCAUCCUUAAAAAAUCCUGUAGCACCAUCUGCUCCUAUAACACUUUGGCAUGCUUAAAAAUUUCAUUUCCAGACUCGGCAGUUUUGAAAUACUUCCAUGGACAUUUCUUAAAGAAAAUAAGUUGGAAGAAUUUCCAUUCCUCCCAGCUUGUUUCUUAAUAAACAGCAGACGAAGUACUCAAGAAACACAGAGCUAUAUAAAUGUUUUGUUAUAAUCAGACAUUUCCCUUCUGAUUUUCCCUCUGACCCUGUGGCUAUAUUAUGCCUGAGGAAACAGUAUUUUAUAUGCUAUGUGCACAGUUUAUGCAACAAUUUUUUAAUAUGCAGAUCUGGUUUUAUAAUCUGAAUUCUAAAAUGUAAUGAAUUUCCAUGAAGUGUAUGUUUCAUGGAUAAGCCAGCAUUUAAUAAAUGACUAGAUUACCCAAACACUCCAAGGGAAGUUGGAGACUAAGCAAGUAAUAUCAGUAAAAAUAAUCCAAUAAACUAAAUAGAUUCUCCUUCUACGAAAUUUAACCAUACAUUUAGAAAAAAUUAGACUUCCAGUUUUUGACAGCGGUAAUGGAAAAUUAAGUGGCUCAUUUUUUCAAUGUGUAUGACUCCAAGUCGUUGAAACUGAUACAGAAGUAUAAAUAAGAGGUAUUAAGUGAUGCUGAAACUGUGGUAGGAGAAAUAGCAAUGGACUAAUGGCCUCCUCAGGGAAGCCUAAAUAUAGGUGUUGCAUUGUUUACAAAUAUAUUCAUCCUUUUAGUCACUUAUUCAGCAUAUAUCAAACACCUACUAUGUCUAGAUUUCAUGUUAGUUUCUGCAAUGAAUCAAUAAUUUCCUUGUCAUUUUAAAAUAAUAUUUAUCUAUCAUCUUAGAGAUGCAACUUGGUCCCCUUCAUCCAGCAAUUUCUACUCUAACCCGUUUUUCACAUAAUAGCCAGAGUAAAUUUUGUAAAGUUACAAUUGUAUUGUAGGAUAAAGGUCUAACUCCUUAAUGUGGUUUACAAUGCCCUUUACAAAAGUCUCACUUUUACUUACCCUCUUAGUCUCUGCCUUUCUACACUUACUGUCUAGCCAUACUGAAUUACUUCGCUGUCACUCGAGACUUAGUUCUUUGCAUGCUCUUUCCUCCACCAAAAAUAUUUUUUUUUCUCCUCUCCUUACCUGGCUUCUUUUUUAAAAACUUUUAUUUAUUUAUUUAUUUAUUUUGAGACAGAGUCUCUCUCUAUCACCCAGGUGGGAGUGCAGGGGUGCAAUCUCGGGCUCACUGCAACCUCUGCCUUCCAGGUUCAAGCGAUCCUCCUGCCUCACCCUCCCAAGUAGCUGGGAUUACAGGCAUGCACCACCAUGCCUGGCUAAUUUUUGUAGUUUUAGUAGAGACGGGGUUUCACCAUGUUGGCCAGGCUGGUCUCAAACUCCUGACCUCAAGUGAUCUGCCUGAGGCCUCCCAAAGUACUGGGAUUACAGGCGUGAGCCACCGUUCCCGGCCUCUUUACCUGACUUCUUUUCUUUACCCUUUAGUUUCUGACAUAAACAUCUUAUCAGUGAAACCUUCCCUAAGGAACAAUGCCAAGUCAGAUGACCAUAGUGACCUAUGCUUUCCACCUUGCAGCACAUAACACAGCCAGUUAUUUAUUUCCUUGCCUCUUCUACUGGACUGUAAACCCCUUGAGGACAGGAAAUAUACUUUGCUUGCCCUGGAAACCUCGUUAUGUGAAAUAGCACUUUGGCAUACCUUGGUAAAAAAAAGGCUGAAUGAGGAAGUGGAAGAGUGAGCCAUGCAUUCUUCCUGUCUCUCUGAGUGAGGUCAUUCAAAAUGGCAAGGGUGUAAAGACGAGGGAGGCAUUCAUUUGCCUUGCCACUUGACUACAUGGGUUGGAAUAUUUGAUGGUAAAUGCACAUACUUAAUCAUACUCUUUUUUAAACACUACAUUUAAAUUCUAAUUUACUAUUAAAAUAUUUCCAACUUAAAUCAGUAAUGCCUUAAUUUUUCUUAUGGAGAAGAGUGUGUGACUUACUCUUCUUGUUUACUUUAGUGCAUUAUGAUGGACUGAAAUACAAAACAAUUCCAAGAUCAACUUAAAUAUAUUUUUCUUGUUUUGGAAGCAGAAUAAUAAUAACAAAUUAACUAAUCUAGAGAAAUAAAUAUGUUCAGUAGAGAGAUAAUUGCAUUUGCUUGGGUAAAAUAUUUUGGCUUGCUCAGUAUCACAUGUAUACAGCUGUAUUUCUAAAACAACUUUAUUCAUAAAUAACAUUUCUUUAAAUAUUUAUUGAUAAUGAUAUGGCAAUCUAGUAUACUAUGACUUUAACCUCUAUAGAUUCUAAGAUCAAAUAUGUAAAUGAAAUAAACAUACAUCUAUGCAUAUUCAACUAGGAAGCAUUGUAUUGAAACACUAAUGAUAGUAUUAAGGGUUGAAUUUUAUUUUCAUUUUUUUACUUUUCUAUAUUUUUCCAAACUUUGAGAAUGAGCACAUAGAAAAGAAAACCAAUUAACAUUUUUAUAUAUGAGAUAGAGCAGAAAAGAUAAUGACAUUGUUCAAGAGAGAAAUAGUAGAUAUGGGUGUUCCAUAAGUUUCUUGCUAGCUUUAAAACUAAUUUUAUGAGUUCUCAAUUGUACUGUCAAAAAAUAUAUAGAUUUCAAUCCAGUAGAGAUUCAAAUAGAAAUAUCUGUCAAAUAUUCUUUCUUAAUAGAUAAUUAAUGAAAAAGCAUACAAUAUGACUGUCAUAAAAGGUGAAUGCCUUUCACCUCAUGGGCACUUACGUAUCUAAUGAAUCCAUGAACUGGUCAAUGAAUAGAAACUGAAGUUUGUGUAUUAAAAUCCUGUCUCUGCUGCCCUCCAGUGGCUUAACUCUGAAGAACUUCAAAAGAGAAAAUCAAGUGCCAUCUAUUCCCAGAUCCUUAUUUGUGGUGAGUAUGAAUGCUCAGGUGUGUGAGCUUGGGAUUUUUCCUGGACAGUUUUGUAUUUGUCCUAUUAGAUAUUACCUUGGUAUAUCAAGACCAAAUUCCCAAGACUAAAUGCAUUACCCAUCUCCUCCCACCUGCAGAAGGGUAAGCUGGAGCAACUGCCAUAAAUGGUGCCAAUAAAUACUAGCAUUUGUUCGUGGACAGUUUAUAGAGACUUUUCAAUUGUGUUAUCACAGAAAACUCCUAGUAAGAAAUAGUGGUGAUAGCAAUUGCAUCUCGUUUAUUAGAAAUUUCUCUGAUUCCCUUUACAAAGUGGGUGAUGGUGUCAGUGUUAUCUUUAGGUAUGAAAACCCUAUGAACAGCUUAUAGUCUAAAACUUACAAUGUGGUGCUGUAGAAAGAUGUUAGCUUAGCAGCAAACAUCAUCAAUAAAUAUCUUCUGCAAUCUGGUAACCAUUAGAAUUAUAUAUUUUUUAUUGCCCUGGACUAUGAGAAUUACAUUCUGAAUUCAUUUGGUAUCUUGUGUAGGCAUAGGAGAAAACCUUUUUGUAUCUAAGAAAAUGGGGUUUUUGACAUUGACUAUCACCUGUUCCCAGAUCUCCUAGGACUCAGACCUCAGACCUCACACCCCUGAAAGCUGAAACCUCGGGGGUUUCAGAUAGUGAUCUCUAAUUGAGUUCUUGUCUAGAUGAAUUCUUAAAAUAUUUUACCUUUCCCUGUUAUUGUGGUUCUGGAAUAUUCUUUUGGUUUUAGCCAAGGAAAUCUCUCAAUUUCUUCAAAAGUUUGCUACUGUGCCUCUAGGUGGUACAAUUAUUUCCAUCUUUUUGCUCAUUUGCAGCCUGUCUUUUUGGAUUAUAGUCUCUCACUACUUAAGCAAUUUCUUCCUUUUCUGUAGUAUGUCUCAUUUGUCCUUCAUAAUAAUGAAUGUCUGUGUUUUUUAUUCUCAGGUAGAUUACUGGAAUUUUACGUAUAUUUUAUUGGUGUUCUCAUGAAUGCUUGGAUUUAACAAUUGUACCAUUUUCCAACGUUCUAUGUCAUAGUAAUUUUGCAACUUGUUUUCAAUUAAUAAUAUGUUGAGAAUAGUGUACAUAAAAUGCAUUUUAGAACUAAUCCUAAGAUAAAGUGUCUCACCAAAGCAUAUUUUAUAACAAUAAAGCAGUAGAAAAAAUAAGUUAACUAAAUGUCCAACAAGUGGAGAUGUAUUAUAUAAAUUCAGUACCAUCAAAAAUGUAAUAUUACUCAGUAAUUAAAAUUAUAUUUUAUUUAAAUGUUCAUUGGCUUGUGAAAAGUCUAUAACAUACCAAGUAGAAGUUAAAGUUAUAUUUUGUAAGUUAAAAAAAUUUUAAAAGGUGAGAAGUAUAUACAAGAUUUUUCCCAUUUUUUUAGAAAUGGAUAUGCAUGUGUAUAUUGUAUGUAUGUUUAUAUGUUA